rnacentral:lncRNA from 1 species
CGUCUUGUGGCUGCGGCCUGCCCCUCAGCCUCCUCCGCGCGGUUACCCCUGUACCCGCCGCCAUCCGUCCUGGCGCUCCGGAUGAGUCAAUGAGGGGCAGGGCCCGAGGAGUGGUCUUCCCAAGAACCCCUGGUGGCCUCCCAAGGCCGGUGCUGUGUACCUCCUCCCCGACAAAAGGGGAAACUGAGGCCCCGAGGGGAGUGGGAAGAGCCGGCUGGACGUCAGGCCCAGCCGCUGGUGCAGUGGUCCGUCCCCUCUGCCGGGGUGGGCCCCUCGGGUUUCGCGUGUCCUCGGGAAAGAGACUGGCGGGCCUCGUGGGCUGUGCGGCUAUCCUGGAGACAGAUGACAGCUCUCCCUUGGAUGGCUUUGCUGGUUCCGCACCAGCCAGCGCCCCCAUUUUUCCUGCAGCACCCUGAUCUGCACUCCCUGAGGGGCUCCCACUGUCCGCGGUGUGAGGAUGUCCCUGGGUAAGUGGUGCUGGUCAUGAGCACUUUGGGGGACCCUUCAAAUUCCCUUCUGGGGGACCCCAGCGGAGGGCAUGGUCAUGAAUUCCGAGAACUGUAUGGCAAAGCCGGGUGCAGAGGAGAGCCUGGCUAAGUUCUUUCAUUCUCCUGAGCUUGACUUUCUGUAAUGUAGGGAAACUGCGAAAGCUCUGUAAGUGGGGAGAUCUUGCACGUUUUUCUUGCUUUUGAACCCAUGAUGUCUGGCUACUUGUAGAUACUCAAUAUUUGUGGGAUGAAUGAACAAUUUAAGCCUUUUUUUUUUUUAACCAGAAAUUGGUCUUCUGUGACUUUCUUGAUGGGGGCAGAUGAGAUCUUUGUACUGCAUUAAGUGGAUAGCGCUCAGGUCCUUUGGGCUUGGCGCUUUGGCAAUCUCCAGGCAGCUCACUUUGGCCUCUGUUCCUGGAUCCCCUUUGCUCUUUUCUGCGCCUGCAUUCGUAAGUGAUCACGGGCUGCCCGUGUCCUGGUCAUUGGUAGUGCAGGCAGAGGAAAUGCGGGAAAGGUUGCUGUGUUUGGAGGGUCCACAUCUUCACCCUCCUGUCCCAGGAGCUUUCCUACACUCCUCCUUCUCAAAGCUGCACACACCUGGGGCCUCCAGGGGAUUGGGGGCUGCCGUGUGUGUUAUAUCAUGAUUAGAGCUUUCACUUCCUGCUCCCUGCUGUUGGGAACCAGGCUGUGUGUGUUGCUUAAAUUCCCCUUGAUGACCAGCAGAGUCACUGCCACUCAGCCAUGGCACACUGCUGUAAACCUGGUUUUGAUCUCCUUUCAAUCUUUUGCUGAUUAACUACACAUUGAUCAGUGUUGGCCACCCUCACCCUGCCAUAGACCAUCCGCUGUCUUCCUCUGUAGAGUUAACUAUUUUCUCUUUUAUGAGGAAAUAGUGUGUUUGCUUAGGAGUGUUUACUGUCUGGUAACUACUGUGCUAAGCCCUUUCCUGUUGCCUGCCAUCCCUGCUGCGAGCAGGGACAAGCUGGGUGCUCACUCAUGGCAUCUUAUCUGUUGCAGAUAGUCCACUGUGUGCAGAGGCAUGGGAGUUGUCAUGUUGGGAACAUGCUAGACCUCAGUAUCCUUGAGGGAUGCUGCCUUGGGUCUGGAAACUGUUAGAGGAAACCCCAAGAGGUGCAGGCACUGAGCCUCUCAGGACAAUGACCUGGGGUCCCAGCUCCCCUGGAGGGGCCUCCUCAUGAUUGUUUGGGGGUUGAUCACAGACCAAGAGUGACGAGUGAUGUCACCCUGUGACUCAUGGCUGGACCUUCUUGCCCCUAUUGUCUCAGCACAACAUUAUUCGACUUUUCCCUCAGCGUGGGUGGGCAGAGGAAAAGCCCUGUGGCUCUGGGGACUUGGGAUCCAGAGUUGAAGACCCUUCAGCUGGCUCUGCCCUGCCAGUGCCACAGAGUGCCAUGGCCCAGGAAGACAGGUUUUCUUCCAUCUAGGCCAGGCCAUCCAGUGGCCAUCCUCCGUGUCCUCCCGCCUCCUCCUGGUGUGACUUCUGAAAACCAAGAAUUUGUUCCUGUUGACUUUUUCUGUGCUAUGGACCAUUGUCCUCUCACCCACUCAAUAAAUCUUGAAACAUGCCCUGCUGCUUGUUCUUUCA